AAGUGGGGGAAAAUGCCCAGGAGGUUUUCCCUCUUGAACAUAGAAUACAACAGUGAGAAGAGAUACGUAGAGAACCAACGUAUGUCUGGACUCAUCUUCCCUCCCCUAGUUCGCAAGACUCUGAUGGUCUACCCUCAAGCUGAGUAUGAUAAAGAAGGACAGCUUUAUCUCACCUGGAAAAUAGUGUACUGAAAUAGUCUGGAUAUGAACCGUUCUGCUUGGGAUUGCCGAACCAACACAAGAGGUGGAAAAGCACACAGCCCACUUCUCUACUCAAUGUCCGUGCAAAGCCUACAUUAAAAUGAUUUCGUGGAGGAA
rnacentral:lncRNA from 1 species